AUUACUUUUCACAUACAAGACUCUUUGUAUGUUUUAGGACAUGACUCAUUUUUCACGUUAGAUUUUCACUUGUUAAGUUUUCACAGACUGCAGAUUUACAGAGUUGUAAACAUUACAUGACAGUGGCUAUUGGAUUCUCACAGAGGAGAGUGUGGUCUCUGAUAAGCCCUUGCACUCAGAGCAUGGCCAGUUUUGCUCUCUUGGACUCCUGGCCACAGACGGCUGUGGCAUUGCUGGGACUCAAACUCACGAUCUCUGGACAAUAAUAUUGAUUUUUUUUAAGGCGAAAUCUUGAAACCCAAGCAUUUCUACAAAAUUUUGAUGCCAUGUUCUGAUUUUGGAGUGAGGAGUGUUUCACUGCCUUGAGGUUGCCAGGAGCAAUAACUGAUCUUUUAAUCCAGUGCACUGCUGAACUUAGACCAUUAAUAAUAUAGAUAUACAACCAAUAAAAAAAAAGACCAAAAAUAAGACAAAAUUUUGCAAGAAUACCAGCUGCCUCUCAACAAACCUCUCAUUUUCCUUGCUUGACUGGACCUAGAGGAGAAACAAGUUUGCUGAUUGUCAAAAGUUAGAAAUUCACACUUUUUAUGUGGCAUUUCUUUUGAACAGCUUGCUCUCUAUCAUCCACCAUGUCAGAUGAGACACUGUUAAGGAACUAAACUGCUGUCUUCCAUUCCAGAAGAUGACAAUGCUCUUCUUAACCUCAGGGAAGUGAACAUCCUCAUAGACAAGCUGUAAGAUGACAAAUUCCUUAAUGCUGCUGACCUUAUUCAAUUUAAAGCAUUGCUAUACUCUGGCAGAUACCCUUUGUUGUACAUGAACCACCCUGAGCAUCUGUCAUGUCUUCAGAACUAUAUAUCAAGCUCAAGGAAGAGAACCGGCCUGCCAUUAACAACACUACAACCACACAGAAAUUGGUUACCAUUGAAAUUGUUCAUUUUUCCCCUCCUUCAAUUCUACCACCUGCAUCCCACAGACACUGGGCUUUAGAAGCCAGUUAUUGCCCCACACUCAUCACAUCACUAUCUUCACUGAACCCCUCUAACUAAUAAAUCCCUGGAUCUCAUCUCUCCUCAUUUACUCUCCUCUUACUGCAUUUGGCAGAUGCCCUUAUCCAGAGCAACAUACAUUUAUCUCAUUUAUACAAUUGAGCAGUCAAGGGUUAAGGGCUUUGCUCAAGGGCCCAGGAGGGGCAGCUUGGUAGAACUGGGAUUUGAACCUUCAGAGUAGAAGUUCAACACCUUAGCCGCUGAGCUACCACUAUCCCCCUCAGACGUCAUAGUAUAUCUACAUAGUAUAUCUACCAUACACUAAUCCCUAUACCCACUUACAUCAUAUGCACAUCCUUCACCUGACAUAUUCCCCCACCAUAUUCAAGAAAUCUCAACUUCUACACUGCUCAAUCAGCAAAUAAAGAACUACUUUUUUUUCUUACUGAAUGACCUGCUACACCCAAACAGUGAGGUUUCAAAAUCAAUAAGCUCCAAUAAGAUGGCCGUGUUGACUUUUGUGACACCUUUCAGUCUCUAAAACCAGCUGGCAAAUUCUCAGUUUGUAUACUGCUGGACCUGUCUGAAGAUCAGCAGAGAUUCUCAAACUCCAUCAGGGUCCCCAGUUUAUCCACAUUUUUACUGUAUUCCAAUACACACACAACACAACAUAGAUCAAAAAUCAGGGACCCUGAAGGACUGGUUUGAGAACCACUGCUCUGGAGUGUGAAGGAGUGAGGAAAGCAUGUCCUAUCAGUUGACUAGUAUAAGUCAAGGAUGUCUGCUUGGCACUCUGAUCUCACAGUACACCACUUUACUGGGUAAAAUCAUAUCAAUAAUGCUAAUCUUCAUCUAUGAUGAAUGGCGGGAAUGGAAAGAGAAGGAGGAAAUAUAGAGGGAUCUUUAUAUUAUAGAUUUCCUUACAGAUAUCUCAGUCUGGCUAGAGGAGUUUCACCUCAAAAUCAACCUAGGGGUCCCUCAUAAAACACAAUUAUCAUCAAGCUCAGUAUAAUAAAAUUGCUUAAUAACAUUAAAGGGAACAUUUGGUAACAUUUCUCUUGGAAAUCUCCAGCUCUUGCAGAUUUGCACUCAAUAACAUCAGGAAAUCACAUUGUACCUGUCGGAUUAUUCAAUAAUAAUUCCUCAUAAUGUCAAUAAUGUCAUACAUCAGUUUAAUCUAAAGACAAAUCUUGUUAGCUUUGUUAAAUAAAUAAAUGAAAGAUAAAUGUUUACACGCUGUCAUGCGUGUUACUAGUUAGUACAAUAACUGGUGCUCUUACUCAUGAGAAUUAAAAAAUUAAAUUAUGACAUUUUAAUGUGGUUCCAUUUAACAUUCAUUGACUGACUCCAGGGUAACAAAAUUAAAUAAAACACCCAACAAGUGAGGACCACAAUACUAUCGCAC